GACAGAGGCCCCAAGCGUUAGGCGGAAUCACUGGGCUUAAAGCGUGUGUAGGCGGAUCGUUAAGUGUCUUGUGAAAUCCCACGGCUCAACCGUGGAACUGCUGGGCAUACUGGGAGUCUUGGGCCAUUCAGGGGCAACUGGAACAAGCGGUGGAGCGGUGAAAUGCGUAGAUAUCGCUUGGAACGCCGAAGGUGAAAACAGGUUGCUGGGGAUGUGCCGACGCUGAGACACGAAAGCCAGGGGAGCAAACGGG
rnacentral:rRNA from 1 species